UCCUGGCCUUGACAUGCUUAGUUCAGGCGUGGAAACACGCUGGCCCGCAAGGGCGAUUUGCACAGGUGCUGCAUGGCUGUCGUCAGCUCGUGUCGUGAGAUGUUGGGUUAAGUCCCGCAACGAGCGCAACCCUCGUGGUUAGUUAUUCCCGGGCAACCGGAAUCUGACCAGACUGCCCUGUGAAACGGGGAGGAAGGUGGGGACGACGUCAAGUCCGUAUGGCCCUUACGGCCAGGGCUGCACACGUACUACAAUGCCCAAUACAGAGGGACGCAAGACCGCAAGGUGGAGCUAAUCCCGUAAAGUUGGGCCCAGUUCGGAUUGGAGGCUGCAACUCGCCUCCAUGAAGUUGGAAUCGCUAGUAAUGGCGCAUCAGUACGGCG
rnacentral:rRNA from 1 species